rnacentral:rRNA from 1 species
GCUGGCGGUAUGCUUAACACAUGCAAGUCGAACGAGAAGGAAGAGCUUGCUCUUCUGAAAGUGGCGAACGGGUGAGUAACGCGUGGGUAACUUACCCUUUGGAAAGGAAUAGCCUCGGGAAACUGGGAGUAAUGCCUUAUAAGAUACGUUUGUCGCAUGGCAUUUGUAUUAAACGCUCCGGCGCCAUAGGAUGGACCCGCGUCCCAUUAGCUAGUUGGUGAGAUAACAGCUCACCAAGGCCACGAUGGGUAACCGGUCUGAGAGGGCGAACGGUCACACUGGAACUGAGACACGGUCCAGACUCCUACGGGAGGCAGCAGUGGGGAAUAUUGCGCAAUGGGGGCAACCCUGACGCAGCAAUACCGCGUGAGUGAAGAAGGUUUUCGGAUCGUAAAGCUCUGUUAUUGGGGAAGAAAAAAAGACGGUACCCAAGAAGAAAGUUCCGGCUAACUACGUGCCAGCAGCCGCGGUAAUACGUAGGGAACAAGCGUUGUCCGGAUUUACUGGGCGUAAAGGGCACGCAGGCGGUUUUUUAAGUCAGAUGUGAAAGGCCACAGCUCAACUGUGGACAUGCAUUUGAAACUGAAAGACUUGAGUAUUGGAGAGGCAAGUGGAAUUCCUAGUGUAGCGGUGAAAUGCGUAGAUAUUAGGAGGAACACCGGUGGCGAAGGCGGCUUGCUGGACAAAUACUGACGCUGAG